GAUGAACGCUGACAGCAUGCUUAACACAUGCAAGUCAACUUGACUUUGGGUUUUUAACUUAGGUUUGGGUUGCGGACGGGUGAGUAACGCGUAAAGAACUUGCCUCACAGCUAGGGACAACAUUUGUAAACGAAUGCUAAUUCCUAAUAUUAUGAUAUUAGGGCAUCCUAUUUUUAUGAAAGCUAUAAGCGCUGUGAUAGAGUUUUGCGUCCAAGUAGCUAGUUGGCGAGGUAACGGCUCGCCAAGGCGAUGAUGGGUAGCCAGCCUGAGAGGGUGAUCGGCCACAAGGGCACUGAGGAAGCGCCCGUACGCCUACGGGAGGCAGGAGUGAAAAAUAGUGGAAAAAGGACCAAGAGAGUGAUCCAGCAAUUCUGUGUGCAAGAUGAAGUUUUUCGGGAUGUAAAGAGGUUUCAGUUAGGAAGAAAGAAAUGACGGUACCAACAGAAGAAGUGACGGCUAAAUACGUG
rnacentral:rRNA from 1 species